rnacentral:rRNA from 1 species
UACGGAAGGCAGCAGUGGGGAAUAUUGCACAAUGGGCGAAAGCCUGAUGCAGCUAUACCGCGUGUAUGAAGAAGGCCUUAGGGUUGUAAAGUACUUUCAUCGGGGAGGAAAAAACAAAACUAAUAAUUUUAUUUCUUGACGUUACCCGAAAAAGAAGCACCGGCUAACUCCGUGCCAGCAGCCGCGGUAAUACGGAGGGUGCUAGCGUUAAUCAGAAUUACUGGGCGUAAAGAGCACGUAGGUGGUUUUUUUAAAGUCAGAUGUGAAAUCCCUGGGCUUAACCUAGGAACUGCAUUUUGAAACUGAAAUACUAGAGUAUCGUAGAGGGAGGUAGAAUUCUAGGUGUAGCGGUGAAAUGCGUAGAUAUCUGGAGGAAUACCUGUGGCGAAAGCGGCCUCCUAAACGAAUACUGACACUGAGGGUGCGAAAGCGUGGGGAGCAAACAGGGAUUAGAUACC